rnacentral:sRNA from 1 species
CUUCCACAGUAGCACCUGCCCAACCAGAUGGUGCAGAGUCUGAAUGGACCGAUGUAGAAACAAGGGUAGGGGAAAAAUUAAAUAUUUGUCUGCCUACUAAAAUUAGGUUUGUCAUGUUUUAAACCCCACAGCUCUAGAUUUUUAUGCUCUUUGAAAAUGCUGAGGUAUAAUCUCACAUUGCCAGUGCACCAUGUAGGCCUAUUCCUAGAAUAACAAGAAUCCACCUCAUCAGGAAUUCCCUUGCAAGUGUUAUUCCUGAGGAGAAGCUCUUGGAAAGAACAUGGGAAGGUAGGGGUCAGGAGGCUAAGCUAUGGCCUUAGCCACCAACUCUCUUUGCAGACUUAUCUAAAAUGAGAUAAGUUACCUGGAUGACCUAAAGACCUUUCUGGCUCACAACAUUUGUGGCCUGUGCCAGAAAUAAAUUACGAGUGACUGGUGUUUUAACGUAAGAGUCUUUGCUGAACUAGAAAGCAAUAUUGCAUUUCACCUAGGUGUGGAGCCUGCUAAAUAACUGUGUUUUAUAGACUAUUGAGAGGAGCUGAUCUUUUUCCUCUUGUCAUUUUCCUCUCAGUGUUCUGUGGCUGUGGAGAUGAGAGCAGGAUCCCAGCUGGGACCUGGAUAUCAGCAUCACGCACAACCCAAGCGCAAAAAGCCAUGAACUGACAGUCCCAGUA